rnacentral:rRNA from 1 species
GACAGAGGGUGCAAACGUUGUUCGGAAUUACUGGGCGUAAAGCGCGUGUAGGCGGCUAAGUAAGUCGGGCGUGAAAUCCCACGGCUCAACCGUGGAAGUGCACUCGAAACUGCAUAGCUAGAGUCCUGGAGAGGUAGGUGGAAUGCUUGGUGUAGAGGUGAAAUGCGCAGAUAUCGGGAGGAACACCUAUGGCGAAGGCAGCUCGCUGGGACGUUACUGACGCUGAGACGCGAAAGCGUGGGGAGCAAACAGG